CACAUUAAUUUUAAUCCAAAGAUGUCUUUGUAAUUCUGUUUUUUGAGACAUGUUGAUGGAUUUUCAAUCUCAAAAAUUAUCAAUUUAGGUGCCCCAUAGUUAUCAAGGAGAGUCUGUUUGAUCUUGGCUGUCUUCCUCCAGCUCUUGUCAUUAUUUUUAUACUGGCCUUUGUCAAGCAAAGGGUCAAAUCUGGACUUCAAAACUUCAAUGGAUAUCCUGGUUUACUGAUACCAUUUGAUUUUUUAGGUGGUUUUAGCAACAGAUUCACCAUUGCUGUUACGUUUGGAGCCACUUCCAGCACAUGCCUGAAUAUGUUUUUGAAACCAAAAAAUGGAAUUUUCAGAUUCCUGACCCAGCUGGAUGGGUGAAGGGUAAGUGAUCAUACAUG